UAUUGAUGUUGAAAUUUGUUAUUAUUAACAGGGAAAGGGAACCGGAAGUUUUGGUAAGCGAAGGAACAAAACUCACACACUGUGUGUGAGAUGCGGCCGCCGCAGCUUCCACAUCCAGAAGAGCCGUUGCUCCGCCUGUGCUUACCCCGCCGCACGCAUAAGGAAAUGUACGUGUUUAUGUUUCUGCUGUGAUUUUGUCAGUUAUGAAGAGAAUAAAAAAAUACGUUUCAAUUUGUGAAUCGGAAUGGAAGUUGAAGGACAUACUUUUUUAAUUUGGGAAUUGAACUAGGGAAAGCUACUUAAUGAUUAUAAGAGCAGAGGUGGAUAUUUUGACAUUCGACUGUUCACCAAAAGCUCAUAUUAUGGGUAAAGUAAAAACUUUACUAAAUUAUGUGAUUGCACCUAUGGCAAAUGACCUAGAAUUUUCGAAGGACAAUGUUUCUGGAGUAUUUUUGUAUUUGACUAACCGAAAAAUGUAGAUUCACGCACACUAUUAUAGGGCUGUAGGAUUUGUUAAAUUUCAUGAACUGGGGUUUUAGAUUGAAUAAAAUGAAUUUAAGCUUGCUAUCCAGUUGGCAAUAUCUGUUCUUUUCCAACUGGAUUCUUUCCCCUAAAGCAAAAGUGAGCCUGUCAUAAUUUUACCAAUCUAUGUUAUCUUAGCUAAUUUAAUUGCAUAUUUGAUAUUCAUGAUUUGAUAUUUGUUGCCUAUGGAAGUACGGAACAACAGUGAUGAUUCAUACAGACCUGUAAUGAUUUGCGAGCAUGAUCGCAAGCAAUAAUGAACAUCUAAGGGACUGAGUUGUUCACCAUCUUCAUCAAUCCUAUUUUUUGUUUUUGGAAUAUCUUGAAAUAUCAGGGAUGUCUAUAUUUUGGAAUCUAUAUUACAAUGAUACUUAAUAUAAAAUUAUGGAUUGCUUAAAGCUUUAAACAGUUUUUAAAAUAUGCAGUCACUCAUUUGAGAAUGAGAACUCUGUAGGUGGUAACUAAGUAGAAAAUAAACUGAAAAGGGUCAAAAAAAUAAAAAGAACUGUAUAAAAUUUUUUUGACUGUGACUAUCUGGUUGGCAGGAUCGGCGUAUUUCUGACCAACUCCUUCCCUGGAAGUGAGAGUGACUGUGUGCAUCCUUGAGUUGCUUUUAGAAAACGCUGGGACAGCUAUAUUUAUACAGUUACGCUGCUUUUUUCUUUUAUCUGAUAUAUAAUAUAUAUUUUACUAUUCUUGGCUCAUAAAUUCUCAUGGUGUGUAUAGAACAACUGUGAUGAACUCUACAGACCUGUAAUGAUUUGCGAAUAUGAUCGCAAGUUAAUGAACAUCUAAGGGACUGAGUUGUUUGUCAAUUGUACACGCCAAUCUUAUAUUUUUCUUUUUUGUCUAUAAUAUUUGUGGCAGUUCUGUCUUUAAAAAUACACUUGUGUUUUUUGCACUUUUGCAGAAUUAUCAUUUUGAUGAUUGGUGAUUUAUUUAGUCUUUGUUUGAUGGCCAUUAUUGAGAAAAAAAAUGAUAUUUUGGAUAGUGAUUAUUUGGAGAAUGUGUGGUUAAAAAGUAGAGAAAAGUUUUGUGCUUGCGUGCAAAAUAUUUUAUUGUGUGAAUGUAUUGUUGAAAAUGAAUAUUAGAAUUAAAGAGUUUUGGUUUAAAGGGAGCCAAACAGUGGCUUAAUAUAUUAGCUUUCCGUUCAUAGAUAACUGGAGUGUCAAGGCUAUACGAAGAAAGACCACUGGAACUGGUCGUAUGAGAUAUCUCCGUCAUGUAGCUGUUAGGUUCAAGAGCAACUUCAGAGAAGGUAAAUGGAAUUUGAUUUUCCUUUUCAUCUACAUUUGUUAUUUGAAAGAGUGUCAAGUUUAUAAUGUUGAUUUGCAACGUAUCUCUAACUGCUAGGCACUCAAGCACCUCCAAGAAAGAAGGGCGCAGCUGCUGCCUCCUAAGGUUUUGAAGGAAAUCCCGAGUUUUUUUAGCAUCUAUGUAUCUUUAUUUUUGUGAGAGAAUCGAGUUUUGGUUUAUACAGUGUUGGUUAUCAACCAGUGAAGAUACUUCGGUUAUCAGUAUGCUUUUGGGUGAUGAUUGAGGUCUCAAUGCAAUCACAAAUUGAUUACAACGGAAAAUGUUUGUGUUUUCUAAUGGAUGAUCAAGAGUGUCAUCACAUUAAUUUCACUCUAUUUCAGCCACAUUAUUUUCUAAGAAUGCAUUUAGAAAUAAUAGAUUGAUUGAGAAUGUGUGAUUAAAAAUAAGAAUUUUUUUUGGAUUUGCGUAUAAUAUUAUUUUAUUAAAAAUUGUGUGGUUGAAAAUGAGAAAAAUGUAUUGGGUUAUGCAUGAUGUCCAUUAGGGUGUCCACCCUUCUCACAUGGA
rnacentral:lncRNA from 1 species